rnacentral:rRNA from 1 species
AGAGUUUGAUCCUGGCUCAGGAUGAACGCUGGCGGCGUGCCUAACACAUGCAAGUCGAGCGAGACGGUUAUGAAGGAUUCUUCGGAUGACAGAUUAACUAGAAAGCGGCGGACGGGUGAGUAACGCGUGAGUAACCUGCCCCAUACACAGGGAUAGCCAUUGGAAACGAUGAUUAAUACCUGAUAACACAUUUUUAACACAUGUUAAAAAUGUCAAAGAUUUAUCGGUAUGGGAUGGACUCGCGUCUGAUUAGCUAGUUGGUAAGGUAACGGCUUACCAAGGCGACGAUCAGUAGCCGACCUGAGAGGGUGAUCGGCCACACUGGAACUGAGACACGGUCCAGACUCCUACGGGAGGCAGCAGUGGGGAAUAUUGCACAAUGGGCGCAAGCCUGAUGCAGCAACGCCGCGUGAACGAAGAAGGCCUUCGGGUCGUAAAGUUCUUUUCUUAGGGAAGAAAAAUGACGGUACCUAAGGAAUAAGCACCGGCUAAAUACGUGCCAGCAGCCGCGGUAAU